AUGUUUUUUACUGUAAUCUUUAUUUUGCUCCACUAACACGAUGGCGUGCCUUCACUGUUUUGUUCUUUGUUCUCAUUCUCGGAACAAGCAGCAGUGACUAGCUAAGAGCCUCAGGGAAGCUGUUUAUAAGUGUGUGAGCAAAUCUGUAUCUCUCCCUCUCUCUCUCUCUCUCUCUCUCUCUCUCUCUCUCUCUCUCACACUCUCUCUCUCUCUGAAGCCAGAACGGUGACUAAUGCUGGCUGCUACCCAGACCACUGUUUACAUGUCUGCACUUAGGGAAAGAGAAACCGGUCUGAACCAGUGCAUACUGACCCACAAGGCUAUUCCAGAAGUCUGUUCUUGCACUGCAUUUAAUCUUUUCACUCACAAUGGACUGAAAUUGUGGUGAGGACAUUCAGUCUUAGUCACAGAGAAUGUGAUGGCCUUAUUUAGCCAUUAUACAUCAUCAAGAUCAAGAUCACCAGUGAAGAAGACAAAAAGGGACCCCAAUUUGCCACUGGGACUUGAAUGGUUAGCAUGUUUAGUGUUAGGGCUUUGAACCUGCCUCCACCCUGUGAGCACAGAGUUUGGGGUUUCCUCCAGGAUGAACACCUUAGCCCUCAGGGGUCCCUGAACGAUAGACUGUUUCUUUUGGAAGCGUUUCUGCCGAACAGCUGUGCGAGGCCUCCUGCCAAGUCCCUUUUUCACAAGCCCCCAUUUCACACGGUGCAUGUGUUGUUCAUGCUGAAAACCACAGCAAACACAGCGAGAAAUGGCUGCUACAGAACAAAGAGAGACAAAGGUUUUCAACAUUGUCCAUGUGGCUCCCAGGAGAAAGAUAAGCCUGUCUGAUGACUAGUGGCAUCAUUAUGUCUCCCUACUGAGCGUUUAUUUUGUUGCUCUGGGUUGUUCUUUGUGCAGGUCUGUACUUAAUUACUUCCAGGAAACAUGACAUUGGAAGAAAAUCAAAAUAAUACAUCUGUCAGAAUAGUGCGUUGUGCACAGAUGACACACUUUGAUUAACUCUGAACUGAAGAAUUAUUUUUUGAAGACAGAAAACAGCAACAAAAGCAUGUCCUGUGUUGUGUAACCUUUCACCACAUACUACUAGAUCUUAUUAUAUAACUUAUACAUAAAUUAUAUGUUUUUGGGCCUUAUACUAAACUCAGCAUGACUAAAUACCCCAAAUCCAAACUUGAAUAAUCUUACUUGACCUUAUGCAUUAGUUUGUUUUUGAAAGACAAUCACAUGACAUGACGUUGUUGUCAUGAUGUUGUUUGUUUAUGUCUGCUGCUCAAAAAAAUAAAAUCAUGGAUUUUAUCGAGAACUUGAUUUUAGUGCAGAAACUGUGUGAGGAACCAAAUGGGGUGUGUGUGUGUGUGUGUGUGUGUGUGUGUGUGUGUGUGUGUGUGUGUGUGUGUGUGUGUGUGUGUGUG